rnacentral:rRNA from 1 species
GGAAGUAAAAAAGUCGUAACAAGGUCUCCGUUGGUGAACCAGCGGAGGGAUCAUUGCUGGAACGCGCCCCGGCGCACCCAGAAACCCUUUGUGAACUUAUACCUUACUGUUGCCUCGGCGCAGGCCGGCCUCCCAGCUGAGGCCCCCCGGAGACGGGGAGCAGCCCGCCGGCGGCCAACUAAACUCUUGUUUCUACAGUGGAUCUCUGAGUUAAAAAAACAUAAAUGAAUCAAAACUUUCAACAACGGAUCUCUUGGUUCUGGCAUCGAUGAAGAACGCAGCGAAAUGCGAUAAGUAAUGUGAAUUGCAGAAUUCAGUGAAUCAUCGAAUCUUUGAACGCACAUUGCGCCCUCUGGUAUUCCGGAGGGCAUGCCUGUUCGAGCGUCAUUUCAACCCUCAAGCCUGGCUUGGUGUUGGGGCACUGCCUGUAAAAGGGCAGGCCCUGAAAUCUAGUGGCGAGCUCGCUAGGACCCCGAGCGUAGUAGUUAUAUCUCGUUCUGGAAGGCCCUGGCGGCGCCCUGCCGUUAAACCCCCAACUUCUGAAAUUUGACCUCGGAUCAGGUAGGA